UAAGGAAUAUUGGUCAAUGGACGGAAGUCUGAACCAGCCAUGCCGCGUGCAGGAAGACGGCCCUACGGGUUGUAAACUGCUUUUGUACCGGAAUAAACCUUUCUUCGUGAAGAGAGCUGAAUGUACGGUAAGAAUAAGGAUCGGCUAACUCCGUGCCAGCAGCCGCGGUAAUACGGAGGAUCCAAGCGUUAUCCGGAUUUAUUGGGUUUAAAGGGUGCGUAGGCGGCUUAUUAAGUCAGGGGUGAAAGGCGGUAGCUUAACUAUCGGAGUGCCCUUGAUACUGAUGAGCUUGAAUACAGUUGAGGUAGGCGGAAUGUGACAAGUAGCGGUGAAAUGCAUAGAUAUGUCACAGAACACCGAUUGCGAAGGCAGCUUACUAAAGUGUGAUUGACGCUGAGGCACGAAAGCGUGGGGAUCAAACA
rnacentral:rRNA from 1 species